GAGGGUAUAGCUCAAGUGGUAGAGUGCAUGUUUAGCAUGCAUGAGGUUCUGGGUUCAAUCAUCUGUACCUCCU
rnacentral:tRNA from 1 species